AUUUUAUUUAUUUAAUUUGUGUUUGCAUAUAGUGAUUUGAUACCGAUUUUGACUGUGAUGUAUAGAAAAAUCCCUAAUAAUAUAAUUGGAUUGAAGAUGUUGAUUAUAUCCAUAACGAAGGCUACCUAUUUGAUUUGAUUUCUCCUAUGUAUGUAUUGUAUAUUAAUGUUAAUAUAAUUGGGUUAGAAGAUCAAUUACCUCUUCAUUCCUGUCAGACUGUUAAUUAAAUAACUGACAUAGUUAAUUAUAAGUUGGAAUUAAUCAAUCUCUUAAUGAAUUGUAACGCCCUCUGUCCCAAUGGCUUCUGCAUAUCCACCAUUAAACCCUCACCACGCGUCUAUUCCGGCAUAACCAACGCCCGAGACUGUUUUCGCACUCCAUCUUGGAAAAGUUAGAAAACUUUCUUCUGCGGCGCCUCAUGAAAGGUGUUUGGUUUUGCAUUAAAACAACCACGGACAUCACAAUUGUGCUGAAAAACUCUCUUCGUGGUGACUGGUGCCUUAAAGUUAUUGAAUUGCUGGACUCUUGCUGCUCAAGAUGCGAUUAUAAUUCAACUCACUGUGCUUCGCUCUCUGGACUAUUGAAGCAAAAUUCCAAAUUACGAGACUCGGCCAAGUAAUUGGAUAAGUAGUUGAGGUGUAGGAAAAAACAAUGACUAAUUUCAAUCAAGUAUUAUCUUAGUUUUAAAAAUUAUGUGUAACUUCUGAUAAUGAUAAAAUUUAGAUUAAGAAAGGGAAACCUCAAUGUUAGGUAGGGAGAUUCACCAGCAAUUGUGAAUUUAAGUUUUGCUUACCGAUUGUGGAAUUUCAUAUUAGAACCCAAGUCACAGUAGAUGUGAGCAUAAGCUCUAACGAUUUGUGCCUUUUUUUUUAUUUGAAUUCUUAACGAUAGUUAUAUGAAUAAUUUGAUCAAAGUUU